AGAAUUGUAAGGUGAAUGAUCUGUGUGAUACUUUGUAUUUUAUACAUUCAUGCUACAAAAAGCAAGUACAUGUACAUGUAGUAAUACUUGUCAUAUAUAAACAAUGUAUAUUUUACUUCAUGUCUUGGAUUUAAAAAUAUUAAUGUAGGUAAAGUAGUGAAAUGUAGGAAGGUAAACCGUGUGUAAAGAAGAAUAUUUAUCAGGAAUGAAGUGUGUUGCAAUCAACAUAAUUAAUUAAAUGUGUACAUCAUAUUUUUGCACAUGAUUUGACAGACUGCUCCAUUGUUAGCUUUUUAUUGGCCAACAAGCUUUUCAUAUCUCCCUCUGGGUCAUCUAUUAAAUACUGACAGGCUUAUGAUAUUAAAAUCUGAUCAGUUGGUACAUCAUGGGUGGAAAUGAAAAGUUCACUUUGGACUUAAUGGAUUAUCAAAAAAAUGAUAUCAAAUCCUGUUCUAUUGUAAAACAUUAGAUUAUAUUACUAACAAAGAAAAGGUUUAUCCCAACUUGUAAGUGGGUCACUUUGACCUCAUUUUGGAAUUUAUUGACAUACAUAUUCAAAUCAAAUCGGGGUCAUACCUCUAUAGUCAACUACUAUCUUGUAGUGUAUUUUUUUUUUUUUUAAAGAUGGAUACUUUAGACUUUUCAAAAAUAUUUUAUGGUGUACAUAUUCAUUGUAGUUCAAAACAAAUUGAGACAAGUGUAUCAUGUUCAUGUAACAGUGAAGUUUUCUUUGUUUAUUCAUGUACGUGCAGUUAUUUUGUAAUUUGCAUUCAUAUUUUUUAAAAAGUAAGAUCUUUGUUGCAUUUUUAAAGGGAGAUUUGAUAGGCAUUUAAUCGAGAUGAAAAAAAUACAAAUGUAAAGAUUUCUAUGGGAGUUUUUUUUCUUGUGCAAUUUUAUCAUUUUUUAGAUAAAAGUCCCUAAUCAGGGAAUUACCAUAUGGAUGUUUCUCCAUUAUUGUAUCUUGGCUGUAUUUUAUUUAUUAUUGGAAACAAUUUGAGAUUUUUGAACAAAAUAAAUUUGGAACUGUU
rnacentral:sRNA from 1 species